UCGGGCGUGGUGUACGGUGCACAGCGGGGCUUUUGAAAAAAGAGCCCCCGCACUGCGCAGGGCGGGGUUCGACUCCCCGCGCCCGGA